UAUAGUUUUUAUUGUAAGGAAGUACCGACCCGCUUAUCCGUUUAGAAAUUCGGUCAAACAUUUUGAUAAUGUCCAAAAGAAGCUAUGGGUGAAGUUAUUUAAGUUAUGAGCAGGAUCAACGACCUAACUUUCGCCAAGAUGUCGCUGAAUCCUUUUAAACAUCCGAGCGUGCAAGAUCUUGUGAAGGACGUAUAUAUAAAAAAAACUCUUGCGGAGAAAGCUCUGAAAGUUGUGCGAGAUAUUCAGAUGGAAGCCGUCCAGAAUUCGGAAAAGCAAUUGAAUCCUGGUGAUGUGGCCAAUCGCUUUUGUGAACUCGUGGAAGCUGUUUUUCUUCAUGGACUGAAAAGUCGUUUGAGCAGAAUGGCGUUGUCUGAGAUGUUUGGGAUCGGAAAAGGAUCAGUACAAGCGCGGGGUCUUUCUUUAACAACAAAUACUAACCUGCCCCGUCCGGAUUUCUGGAGUCUAGUUCGCACCGUAACCCAUCGUGAAGGCCUUGAAACAAUAAACGCUCUUGAUCAAGUGAUAACUGACGUAGGGCGGAGCCGCUCGUGGGUGCGAUUUGUUAUCAACGAUGGUACGCUGGCCUCUUGCAUUGAAUGCAUCGCAAAUGAUCCAAAGGUCCUAUCCUCGUUUUACCGUUCCUCUGCGCUACUUCGGGAUGACGAACUUACCUCAGUUAUUGUUCGUCUCUUCAGCUCGUUGUCAGACGUGCGUUUCACUCUGCCACUGAACGUCGCAUCACUAAACCUUUGGCAGCCGGGUCCGCUUAUACUUUGCGGAUUAUGGCAACGAUUGGAAGAUGUUGAGAGUAUCAGUCCUGUGACGUAUGCGAUGGAUGUCGAUGACUACUUUAUCAGGGAAGAUGAAAGAUCAUAUGAAAAUCUCGGGAAGAAGCUGCCUUUGGCUACGGAUCAGGAUCGUGAGCAUCCUAAGGCUCGUUCUUCCGAAGAACCUUUCCAGCCACACGAGCAAAAACAUUUAGCCGAUUCACUUGGCCUUCCAGCCAGUAUUGCGGAUGAAAUCGAACAAGCUCUAAAGAUAAAUAAAGGUGGUGAUCGAACACCAGUUGUCACAGAUGCAUCGACACUCAAAGCUAAUCCUAAGGAAAUGUCAGGAGAGUAUGAUAGCCUCCUAGCCAGGUCAACGGUCGGCUAUACACAACCUAUCGGCGAUACAGGAUCUGCUACUAUUAUGAGCUGGAAAGGUGGUUUGGUCGGCGAAUGCGGCGGAGGUUGGUCCUCUGUGUUUGCACCACCAUCUUUAAAUGACCCUACAGUCGCUGACGUGGAAAACGCUGCGAAUGUUCCAGUAGAAAGUGAAAACAGUGCCGAGGAAUCGAGUCUUGACUCAAUCCUAAAUUCGUCCGCGCGUCACAUGCACCUGUCUUUGUCACUUGAUACUGUCCCUGCUGGUACACCCGAAUUAUCCAGCUUAUUGACAGAGGUGUACAAUACUAAGGCGACCGGUGAUAAUAAUGAGAGGAUGCCGACUGGAACCCCAGAUCGAGAAAGUGAAGACUCGGAAGACAACGAUUUUGAAAUUAUUCCCUCUCCAGUAAAAGAAAAUUCACGCAUACUUGCCUUACUCAACGGGCUUGGACAGGUACCUCGUGAGAAAGGUCUUGACGAGCAGAACUUCGAAUGCGCGGGCUGCAAAUGUGCUAUUGGUAUGAUCUUCGGGCCCUACACUAAAUGCGCGUUUGAUGGUCAUCUAUACUGUAACGAAUGUAUGGGUCAGGGCACGAAAGUAGAGGAGCACGUGAUACCGUCACGUAUUGUCCAUGAUUGGGAUUUCCGUGUUCAACCGGUGUGUCGUUUCAACAAACGUUUUCUCGUCCAAUACGAACAAGAACCGCUUCUGGACAUACGAGAAUUGAACGUUAUGCUGUAUUCAAUCGUGUCAGACCUUGCCGCUGUACAGGUCUUGCGGCGCCAGCUACGUUUUCUUCGACUCUACUUAUUUUCUUGCCAGGAGUCUGCGAAGGAGGAGCUCAAAAAACGUUUAUGGUCCCGCGAGCAUUUAUACGAACAUGUGCAUCUUUAUUCGACACUUGAUCUUCUUUCCAUACCCUCAGGUUCCCUGCAAAAAAGUUUGGAAAAGGCUGUCCAGUUUGCUAAAAAGCAUGUGCUCUUGUGCCAGCUUUGUUGCCAAAAAGGCUUCAUAUGCGAGCUGUGUAACGACCCAAAGGUGAUUUUCCCAUUCAAUAUAAAUGAGACGCACUUUUGCGAACGUUGCUCUGCCCUGUACCAUCGACAGUGUAUGGCAGAAAGGAAUCAGUCUUGCAUCAAGUGCGAACGGAAAAGGCUGCGUGAGCAACGCCUAGCGCAGCAGCGGGAGCUUGAUGAAGGCAGCUUCAAAUCAUGAUAGCCUGGCAAUAUUUUUUCCAAGUUUUCAAGACACAUCUUAAGGACAUAAAUAAAGCUAGUCCAUUCUGUAUCAGAACACAGGUCAAUCUAGCAGUGAUACCGCGAGGUAUAUUGCCAUGUAUUAACGGCUUUGUUACGAACCAUUUGGAUGAAUUUGGAACAAGCGGUAUCCCAGCGCUAUCAACACGAAUGCAGAGAUAUUAACAAUUACCGCAUUACUGAACGGAGACGAUCGUGAUUACCUAUCUGAACGACUGUUCGGACGGAGGAAAUCCUGGAUUAACAAGGAAGAACCAGAGGUGGAUCGCUAUCAAAGAAACGACAAACUUCUAACUUAAAUCUGGCUACAUGAAAUACUAAAAAGAGCGAUCUCAAACGAAGGCUGUAAGGAAGAAGAGUCGUAGUAUCCUCAAGAUGAGGAGCGUGUAAGGUAGGUUACGAGUUCCAAAGAUGUAAGAACAAUAUCAAACAAAGCUAUUUGCAACAAAAACCAGGGAAAGGACCUUGGGGGUACAGGAGUUCUCCUGGUGGUCGUGUUCAUCAGACGGAACGAUUCACGUCCAGUCAGUGUGUUCAAAUGGUGAAAAAAGCCACAAUGCGGCCGCAAGCAGUAGACAAGCAUUAAUUAAUGCAUGUUUACCAUCUGUAUGAUAAAUUACAGACCGUAAUUGCAUUAGCUUAAAUUUAAACUCAUGGUGCGAUUUUACGAUAAUACUUAUUAUGUAUUUGGGUACUGUUGAAAAGCACUUGAAAAGGGCUUCUAAGAAACUAUAUACUGUGUAUAAUUUAGCCCAACAAGAAAAAAAUGCAUCAUACUUUCCUAAUUAUGAUUUGUCAUCUUUAUGUGUUUUUGAAUACAAUAUAUCUUAUAAACAUGGUUUGUCGGAAUAACUAUUAUAUAUAUUUUACAAGGACUGCAUGUUUUCAUGCGUUUUUUUUUGAGCAAUUAACUCGUUCUUGGAUCCUUAAAAUCAAAGUUAUAGCUUUUUGAGCGAGUACGAAACAUGUACAGGAUUCAUUUUCGGAAUUAAUUCUCUAUUGCAGAUUUAUGCGAUAACAUCGAUUGACAAGUCACAAAGUUAUAGCUUUUCAACAUUUUGAAAUUGGGAUCCUAUUUUUGGAUAUAUUUGGGCAAUGCUUUUCGCAAUAGUUAAGAUUGUGUUAUAAAUAAGAAGUGUAAUAAUUAAGAUAAUGUUUCUGAAAAUGGUCUGACGUACCUGGAAAAAAAUCCAAGUUAUGCUAUGAGAUGCUAAAAACAACCUCAUCCCUAGAAUAUAAUGAAUUAGAGAAAGAGUAUCUCUCGGAGCUGUAAUUUUGACAGCCAUUGAGGAUUUAUGAAACAUCCGAAAUAGAAAAGUUACUUAAUUAUUAUUAAGACUAUUAAUAAUAAUCGUUUUCAUUUGUCCUAUAGAAUCGAUUGUUGUAUUUUCCUGAGCAAACAGUUUUAGAAUUUCUAGCAACUUUGAUGUUUCCACAUACAUAGUUUGUUUUUUUACAAGCAGUUUGAGACUUUAAUAAAAUUUCAGAAAUUAUUAGGUUUCAUAUCACGGAAUAAGGGCAAUCUAACUUCUAUAUGAUACCAGAUCAACGAUGCAGAUGUGAUUGAUAAUAACAAUUAAACCAAUGCAGCAAAGUUACUGAAUUUUUAUAGUCGAAUAAAUAGAAUGCAUUGGGUUAAAUGAUGAGAGAAUUGUAAUCCUGUGAUUUCAAUGAAACGCAUUAAGAAUUGUAACAGUAGUGAAAGUUCGCAGAUGGAAAAGCAGCACAAUAAUUUUUAUAGUGUCCGACGCGUAUGUGCUUUGUCGAUCAUACGUAAGAACGAGCUAGUUGAUCAAAUCCUUUGAGCCCUAGCUCUAUAUAUAUCAAUUGUUAGCUAUUUCAGAAUUUUUACCUGUGUGAUGAUACCACACGAAUCAAGUGGAGCUAGCUAAUGGGACUCCAUACUGCUGUUUAUGAACAGUCGGUCAGUUGAUAGCGAACUAUCUGCACAAAAUAUGUAUUUCUCAGUUAUUUAUAUAACUGUAGUACUGGGAUUCUACGUACUGGCCAGCCCUCUGGCUUUAGCGUCUUUAUUAAAUUAGUUCGAGACAAGCAGGUACCGUGUGACGGCUAAAAAAACGACACGGUGAGAAACGGAAACGAAGUUGUGGAAUCAAAGUUAGCAAAUAAAUAAUCAGUACCAGUAAUCCCUAGGGUAAUGUGCAUCUUAUUGUAAAAUACAGUAAUAUCAAUAGUGGCAGUUAGUGUUUACCAACUAUAGCACACUUCAUAAUUGUUGUAAUAUAAUUAUUUUUUUCUUUUUCGAAUAGAGUAUUCGCAAUGUAAAUCUUCGCCUUGAAAGGUAAAAAAAAUAAUGUCUGCACUGGAUUCGUUCAGGUAAACUCAUAUGGUUUCAUUUGGCUUAAAUUAUGCAUUCGAAUGACUUAAUUUUUAGGAAUCAAUGACUCCCUUAGAAUGUGAACUGUGCAUACAAUAAAGUAUAUAUUUAUAUUUGGAAAAAUAAAUGCCACGCAUGGAAGUUGUGAACAUUAUAGAUCGUUGCGCAAAGAUUAUUAAGAUGCCUUACAGAUUGAUCAGAAAAAAUAUUUUCUGUUACAGCCUCCGCUAUUUUGCGAUGGAAGUAAUUUAUCCCGUGUUAUUUCAAUUGCUGUCCUUGCUUAUGUUCUAUGCUUAUGUUCUAUGCUGUCGAUGCUUAUGUUCUAUUGUAGUUUUUAUGACGCUUUGGAAUUUUCUUUAUUAGAAUUUCUGUACGCUCAUAAUGUCAUUCUUUGUGGUGAUACAUGUUCACUGUAACCCCUAUUGAGCUCAAAAGCAGUUCUAUUCGGAACCUAAAUCACUCAUUAGCAAUUUCCAAAAGUAUUUUUUUAUACCCGCAAACAAUUUUUUAGUACUAAUCCUAUAUAACCGGACGUAAAAUAGGAAAAGCAAUAUUGUGCUCUUCGUAUUUUACGUCCGGUACAUCAGCUGUUAGGCAUUGCUUCAGACGACUGGCUCCCAGAACGAAUCGAAGUGUGAGUGUUUGCCGGGAUCGAACUUUAACUAUUGCACAUAUCUAAGUGUACGGGACUUCACUAUUGCGGAGAAUAACUUCGAAACCUAUUUUUUGUAUUAGCGUCAUAUAAUGUAAUUUAUUUUGUAAAAUGAGACUUUUUAUAAUUGCCUUUAAACCGAACAGGGGAAGAGGAAAAAACAGCAUCCCCCAUCAAUGUAGCUGCAAACAAGGAGGCGAAGCACCGACUGCGACAUGAACGAUUGUCCACUUAAAGAAAGAAAAAAAUUUUAAGUGAUUAUUUUUACUGUUAUUGCACUGAUAGGAAUAGAGCUGACAAUCCCUACUGCUCUG